rnacentral:misc_RNA from 1 species
AAAAAAUAAAUUUAUUUUUUUUCUUCACGCAAUACAUAUGAACUGAAGAAAAAAAUAAGAGAAAAAAAAAAUCAAUGGCGGCAUCGAAGAGCUAUUUCGCUAGAUCGAACUACCGGUUUCUAUCAAGUGACCGGAAUGUUUCAGUAACUUCCGAUACGAUGUUCGAGCUGGAUGAAUCCGAUGUAUGGAACUCACCGGCGACGGCAAGGUCAUCGUCGCCGGAGUUUCGGAAAACGAAUACGAGGAUUUCUAGAAAGCAGUCGAUUGCGAAAAGUGAUCGAAACAGUACUGGAGUAACGGUAAAAUCAGCAGCAGCGGUUGCGGCGGCGUCUUCUAUGCCGGUGAACGUGCCGGACUGGUCGAAGAUACUGAAGGAUGAGUAUAGAGAGAAUCGGAGAAGAGAUAGCGAUGAUGACGGAGAAGACGAUGAUGAUGCUGAGAAUCGGAUUCCGCCGCAUGAGUUUUUAGCGAGGCAGUUUGCGAGAACGAGAAUCGCUUCCUUCUCUGUUCACGAAGGAGUUGGAAGGACUCUCAAAGGUAGAGAUCUUAGUAGAGUCAGAAAUGCAAUUUUCGAGAAAACUGGAUUCGAAGAUUAAAAUUUUCAAACUAUUCAACCGAUCCAUCGAUCGAUCUAACUGUGAGAAAUUCAAAUUACUACCUACUUUUUUUUGGUUCAACAAUCUCAAAACUCUCUAUUUUUCCUUCUUUUUUUUUUUCUACCUAUUUUUGCAAGCGGUUACCGAGUUACAGAUGCAUUGUAAUUGUAACGUUUUUUUUUUCGAAAUUUUG